AGGAAAGGUGGAUAUGGAGCAAGGAGGUUCAGGAGGAUGUGUAUGUGAGCACUGAGUCAGCUGGCUACCGCACAGAGAAGCUGUUCCUUGCCUGACCUUUGCCACUGAGUUCUUCUGAAAUGGCAUCAGUGACAGGCUUCUCUACCUAAAUGCUCUAAAUCCCUGAGAGAGAGAGAUAUCUUUGUGGAUCCCAAACUGUAUUAUCAAAAAUCAACCUUUCUCAACCCUGUGAAGACACAGAUGUGCCAGAAAUGCUGAAUGGAUUGGAAAAGGCAGAGCAGGCACCAGCCAGCCUGCAGUGGUUUUUGACCACUUCUAAACAGAUUGGUGUCAGUAACCAAAGACCUGCAAUUUACAGAGCAAAGGGUAGGGCGGAAUGAUUCAAUGAGAACAGAGGUUAAAUGAAUGUAUCUGUUGUCACUGAAUGGAGCUGCUAGAAAAUUCAUGACUGCCAGAAAGCUUCCUGCUUCCAGAAGGGAAGGAACAGACAUUUCAACAAUCAGCUUCUGGCUCUUGGUCUCAG